rnacentral:rRNA from 1 species
AUUGGACGCUGGCGGCAUGCCUUACACAUGCAAGUCGAACGGCAGCAUGGAGAGCUUGCUCUCUGAUGGCGAGUGGCGAACGGAUGAGUAAUGCAUCGGAACGUACCGUGUAAUGGGGGAUAACGUAGCGAAAGUUACGCUAAUACCGCAUACGACCUGAGGGUGAAAGCAGGGGAUCGCAAGACCUUGCGUUAUACGAGCGGCCGAUGGCAGAUUAGCUAGUUGGUGAGGUAAAGGCUCACCAAGGCGACGACCUGUAGCGGGUCGGAGAGGAUGAUCCGCCACACUGGGACUGAGACACGGCCCAGACUCCUACGGGAGGCAGCAGUGGGGAAUUUUGGACAAUGGGGGCAACCCUGAUCCAGCCAUGCCGCGUGAGUGAAGAAGGCCUUCGGGUUGUAAAGCUCUUUCGGCCGGGAAGAAAUCGCACAGGCUAAUACUCUGUGUGGAUGACGGUACCGGCAUAAGAAGCACCGGCUAACUACGUGCCAGCAGCCGCGGUAA